CAUGUCUGUUCCUGCUGGACAAUAAAUUCAUAAAUGAGGAAACUAAGGCUCAGAAAGGGUAAGUGAUUUGCCCGAGGUCAGACAGUUAGUGUCUGAGGCAAGAUUUGAACUCAGGUCUUUCUAGCUCCCAUCUAGCACUACCUGUUCCACUGUACCUACUAUUUCUAUAAGUUUUUAAAAGCCUAGAAUCAAAUUUACACUUGAUAUAAUUAGCAAAGAACCAUCAUCUUCUAUACAAUAUGUUUUCAAGCUGUUUUCUCUAAUGCAGUGAGUUCUGAUUUGGAGAAUUCUUGGCAUAAAAUAGUUCUCCCUGCAGGCCAGAUUACCUACUCAUACCUAGCUCUUGCAACUGUGGAAAUUUUUUCUUGGAACUUUACUUGUAAGUAUUUUUCAUUUACUGUAAUAUACUAUUAGAGUUGAAAGGGAUCUUUGGAAGUCCAACUCCCUCAUUUUGACUGAGCUAGGUCUGGAACCCAGGUGGUCUCUUAUCUACUAGCCCCACACCACACCAUAACAUUUUCAUAGUCAAGUGGCUGCAGCAGAAUUCAUGUUUCACUUUUUUUUUUUAGCGGGGAUGGCACAUUCUCUCAUGCCUCAACAGUAAUCAAAGAACAAUGCAGCCUGAUUGUCUGCUCAUCACCAUGAAUGUGGAGCCAGCCAUCAGAAGGGAGAGCUUUCUAGUUGCCUUGGUCUGGAGAGGAGAGCUGUCCAAAUCUGUGUCCCAGAAGCCACCUUCUGAGAUACUACCUCAACAUGGCACACUGAAUAUACAUCAGCAUAAAGUCGGUCAGCCAGGCAAUAAACAUUUAUCAAACACCAUGAGCCAAGUAAGGUUUGUAGCAUUGCCGUUUGCUAUAAAUUUGUAUAUGUAUUGUGUGUGUGUGUGUGUGUGUGUGUGUGUGUAUAAUAUAUAUGUAUAUGCAUAUGUGUAUAAUGGUAGCAAUGGUACAGUGGGUAGAGUGUUGAACUUUUCUUGCCCUUUCAUUUUAUUAAGUGCUUUUGCUUUGGGCUAAUUGUGUCCUCUGGUUGAUUACUGAAUAUAAACAUAUUUAAUGUAUUUAAUAUCCCUGUCAGGGGCCUCAUGAAUUUUAGGAGUACCAACCCAAAGAAUACCUUGAAUCUGGGGUAACCAUCCUCUGAAGGACCUAUCCUAUGAGUUGGGGAAUGUGCUGGAGCACUUUACUGUGUCAGGAAGACAUGAGUUCAAAUUCUGCUUCUUACAUUUAGUAGCUAUGUGACCCUUGGCAAGGCACUUAAUCUCACUGAGCCUCAGUUUCCUCAUUUGUAAAAUCAGGAUAAUAGCACUUGUAGUAUUCACCUCACUUGGUUGUUAUGAGGACCCAAUGCAAAAGUGUGUAUAAAGCAUUUUGCUUGAACAAUGCCUAAUGAUCAUUUUUUUUGUUUUGUUUUGUUUUUGCAAGGCAAUUGGGGUUAAGUGACUUGCCCAGAGUCACACAGCUAGUACCUGUUAUGUGUCUAAGGCUGGAUUUGAACUCAGGUCCUCCUUACUCCAGGGCCUGUGCUCUAUCCACUGUGCCACCUAGCUGCCCCUUAAUGGUUGUUUUUUAAAUAAAAAGAUUCCUACCAAUAUGGAUAGGUUUCCA
ensembl:lncRNA